GAUUCGCCCGGGNGNCCCCGCGCCGGUNCNGCNGCCCCCGCCUGCAUAUGGGGGGCAGCAGUGGGGAAUCGUGGGCAAUGGGCGAAAGCCUGUCCCCGAGACGCCGGGUGGAGGAAGAAGCCCUUCGGGGUGUAAACUCCUGUCGGGGGGAACGAUGGGACUGUGGGUUAAGAGCUCGCGGUCCUGACGGUUCCCCCAGAGGAAGGGACGGCUAAUUACGUGCCAGCAGCCGCGGUAAUACGUAGGUCCCGAGCGUUGCGCGAAUUCACUGGGCGUAAAGUGUCCGCAGCCGGUCGGGUAAGCGGGUUGUCAAAGCCCACCGCUCAACGGUGGAACGGCAUCCCGAAUUGCCCGACUUGAGGCACGCUCAGGCAGGCGGAAUUCCCGGUGUAGCGGUGAAAUGCGUAGUUAUCGGGAGGAACACCGAAGGCGAAGGCAGCCUGCUGGAGCUGUCCUGUCGGUCAGGGCCGAAAGCUGGGGAAGCAAAANGGCUUCGAUACCCGGGUAAUCCCAGCCAUAAACCUUGCGUGCUNNAGAUUNUCCUUUUGGGGCAGUCUAACNU
rnacentral:rRNA from 1 species